rnacentral:rRNA from 1 species
GACGAACGCUGGCGGCGUGCUUAACACAUGCAAGUCGAACGGAAAGGCCCUGCUUUUGCGGGGUGCUCGAGUGGCGAACGGGUGAGUAACACGUGAGUAACCUGCCCUUGACUUUGGGAUAACUUCAGGAAACUGGGGCUAAUACCGGAUAGGAGCUCCUGCUGCAUGGUGGGGGUUGGAAAGUUUCGGCGGUUGGGGAUGGACUCGCGGCUUAUCAGCUUGUUGGUGGGGUAGUGGCUUACCAAGGCUUUGACGGGUAGCCGGCCUGAGAGGGUGACCGGCCACAUUGGGACUGAGAUACGGCCCAGACUCCUACGGGAGGCAGCAGUGGGAAUAUUGCACAAUGGGCGGAAGCCUGAUGCAGCAACGCCGCGUGCGGGAUGACGGCCUUCGGGUUGUAAACCGCUUUCGCCUGUGACGAAGCGUGAGUGACGGUAAUGGGUAAAGAAGCACCGGCUAACUACGUG